rnacentral:lncRNA from 1 species
GAAUAAGAGUUUCCUAUGAGUAAUUUGUAUGAUAAAGGAUUGCAUUAAAUAUCAAGGUUUUCAGAGGAGGAAAUCUAGUUCUCAUUGAAGAGCAAUACUAAAAACACUCAGGGGACUUGCAUCUAAGUUUUGCCAUUUUAGAAAUCCAAGAAGUGGAAUGAAGGCACAAUGAGGUGAGAAAGGGUAAUGUAGCCAAAGGAACCAACAGUGGCCUAAAUUGAGAGUAUCUAAUAAUUAACCCUUGUGCAUAAUCUUAAGGUGACUAUUAUAUACUCAUGAUAGCUUCAAUUCCUUUCACCUUUAGGAAACAGGACAAAUUAUUACAGUAAAGGCCACAUCAUACUUAGAGGAAGGUACUAUGGAGAUGCUGAUAUACUUGAAAUGGCCAAUAAAGCCUGGAAUUUCGGACAUUGAGUUGGUUGAAAUGCUGAUAUACAGUUGAAUUGGUUGAAAUGGUUCGAAUUUUAUAAACUUGUUAGUGCAUAGAAGAAGGGAAAGAAAGUGAAAUGAGGUUGGAAAGAGGGAAGGAACGAAAAGAAAGGUAAGUGACUGUUUAGGAACAUGGAAAUGCACGGACUAACUGUUGGGACUAACAUCUGUGUCUCUUGUCUUAUAAGUCAACACUGAUAAUUGUAACUAUCACAAUUCCACUCCUACCUAAUAAGUUCUUUCUAUAUAUAAGUUUAUUUAUUUUCUUCUUUCUUAUUCCUUUCAGAUAUCUAUCAAAUUGAUUAUUUCUCAAUAACUUUCAACUUAUUCUAUAUAUUUUCAUAUAAAUUUCAAAACACAUCUACACAGUGUGGGUAAAAAAAUUUCAUGCAGAAACGCCCAAUUAUUAAAUGUGUGCUCCAAAUGAAACUUCAAAAAUUACGACACUUCACUACAAACUCAAUAGGAAACAAAUCCUGACCUGUUGUUGUGGCAAUUAAGCACUACGAAUCAGCCAACACCACUUCACUGCAACGACCUCGACACGCGAACCCCAACAACCCCCACCCCUGUUGCAACACUCAGAAGGACCAAAACUCUCACCCUAGCCGCAAAUCAACCACCAAUGAACCGUUGUCAGUGUCCGCAACAACAAGAGCUUCAAACCGGCUUAGGGCGACAAUGGAAGAGCGCCACCCAGCAAUAACCCGCUUCGAACAGAGAGUACAGUGGAAGAGCACCACCCAGCAACGAACCUCGAUCACCGUGAACACCACCAAACUUGCGUUGUCAAACCGUAGUGUCAAACCAGCUGACCGCCUCUAAGGUCACGACCCCAAGUAAAGGACUUCGACGAACAGGAGGGAGGGAACUCUUCUGUGAAAUUUGGGAAAUUUGAGAACGAAUACUCAAAUUUUCAACUUAAAGCAUAGCAGACAUUACCGAAGGGCGAAAACCCUCGGUAUGUAAUUUCACUAAAACAUUACCGAAGGCUUGUUGGCCGUCGGUAAUAAUCCUUCGGUAAUACGCGCUUUUACUGUAGUGUAUAUACCUUCUUCUUAUUCAAUGAGAUAUUGGUUUGAGCAAAGGAAAGAAGUGACAAAC